GGACAACCUACUGCUAGGCUGAGACAAGCCUGCGGUCAUGGAGGGUGAUAGAUAAGGGCUGGAAUGGAGCCUUGGGGCAUUCAGAGAGGAGAGAAAGGGUAGUGAGCUGGAUCCAAUGGCCUUUCAGCAUAAUGCAGGGUGGGGAGGUGAAAGAGGACAGCUGGUGUCAGCCUCAGCCUUCCCAGAGUGUCCCCCAAAGUGACCACCAGCCACAGGAGUCAGGGUGAGGAGUGCAUAGCCGUGUCCCUUGUGCUGUGUCACUGUGAGGGAUCCUGAGCAGCUCCUGGUUGAUGGGCACCUGUACUGACUGUGAGUACGUGGGUACAAGAGUGUGAGCAAAAGCAGGCUUGUUUUUAAAAUAAAACCCCUCUCCUCUUCCAAAGUCUCCUCUUGAGAUAGGCUUCUAUCAUCGUUACCCAACGCAGGAGUGUUUCCUAUGCCAGGAAUGCAGAGCGCUCAUCAGCGCAUCAGUGCUUAAAUCUGCAAGAUCAAAAAGGUGCAAUCUUACUCCCUUCUAAGGGUAGAGGAGUCCAAAGAAGAUACUCAAAGCCCAGACUUAAAAACCAUUUGAGCAUUUGAAGAAAAAAACCCACGGGUGAUACAGAUACAACCAAACUGCUGGGCACUCCAAAAAAGUGGAGAACAGCUAUGAAAACUGGAUAUAAAUCUGACUCCUCGGCGCUGCCAAAUACGCACUGUCGCUCGGGGUUUGUUCUAUUGAUUCAUGAGAAAGAUGACGGCACUCUCUCACGUAAUAAUCUCCGUGACUGCUGCUGCUCACACCAGGUGUUCUGGACGGGACCGCCUGCAGGCUGGGGCAGCUCCCAGCUCACUGUCACCGCCUCUUCUGUUUGCGUUAUGGGUUACUGCAUGGCCAAGAUCCACACUGCGCAACACCACGUGGACUUCAUACAAAUGUAUGAACCUUCCCCACAGCGUUUGCAGAGAUGAGAGCUGGCACCUUGGGCAGACUGGUGUCUGGGAUGCUGGAAUGAGAAAGGAACUGAGCAAGCAGACGCGCAGUUGACUCAGGAGGUGCCAUUGCUGGGGCUUCAAAAUCGCUGUGCAAACAAAGGCGUAGACACAGCUGCUCCAGGGGUACCCAGAGGAGAGGAUGGAAACCUAGGAGCUGAGGUACAGAAGCAACACAAAAGGGAUCACACUAUUUCUUUUCUUCAGGAGUACGCAGUACUUGGGUGACCACCCAACAAGCAUCCCCAGGUCUCUGCUGGUCACUUCAGCUCCCUGCAGUUCAUCCAGUCAGUCUGUGACACCAAGGCCUGGGCCUGGUGGAUCAGAUGUGGGCAAGAACAGGGCCAGAUUUUCCUUUUUACUUCCCCUUGGCAGACAUUGGCCUGGAUUAACUCUUUGCCCCAUGCCUCAACUCCGUAGCAAUGCCUUCCAGGCUCUUUGCCAGGGACAGAGCUAUUAAGGAUGCACACAAAGAAAGACACAGUCAUACAAAGAUCCCCAGGACUAUGAGGGGAGAGGGAAUGCUCUUCCUCUUUAAAUAUGAUAUUAUAUUAGAACAUACAGGCUGGUGCAGAAGCAGAUGCUUUGGCCCAUGCAACAGGAGAGGGUUGGAGUAAUCCCCAAAUAAAUAACCUUGACUAAUGCCAUAAUGAGCUAAUUGCAGCUUUUGGAAGCUCUUCAGUACAGGGUAAUGUUCAACCUUGAUCCUUGAAC
ensembl:lncRNA